GCCCGCCUAGCUCAAUCGGAUAGAGCGUCAGACUCUUAUCCGUCUGCCGAAGCGGGUCAAUCUGAAGGCUGCGAGUUCGACCCUCGCGGUGGGCU